GAUGAACGCUGGCGGCGUGCUUAACACAUGCAAGUCGAACGAAGCACUUUAUUUGAUUUCCUUCGGGACUGAUUAUUUUGUGACUGUGUGGCGGACGGGUGAGUAACGCGUGGGUAACCUGCCUUGUACAGGGGGAUAACAGUUGGAAACGGCUGCUAAUACCGCAUAAGCGCGCGGCAUCGCAUGAUGCAGUGUGAAAAGCUCGGGUGGGAUAAGAUGGCGCCGCGUUGGUUUAGCGAGUUGGUGAGGUAACGGCCCAGCAAGGCGGGGAUGCAGAGCUGAGCGGGGAGGGGGACCGACCAGAUUGGGAAUGAGACCCGGACCAAACUGGGAGGGGAGGGAGCAGUGGGGAAUAUUGCACAAGGGGCGAAAGUGCGAUGACGCGACGUGGGGGGAGAGAAGAAGUAUGUCGGUAUGUAAAGCUGUAUGAGAAGGGGAGAGAGUGACGGUACCGGAUGAAGAAGCACCGGCUAAAUACGUG
rnacentral:rRNA from 1 species